GUCAAGUAAUUAAGUGCAUGUGGUGGAUGCCUUGGCAGUCAGAGGCGAUGAAAGACGUGAUAGCCUGCGAAAAGCUCCGGGGAGGCGGCAAAUAUCCUUUGAUCCGGAGAUGUCUGAAUGGGGGAACCCACCUACUUUAAGGUAGGUAUUGCAACAUGAAUACAUAGUGUUGCAAGGCGAACGAGGGGAAGUGAAACAUCUCAGUACCCUUAGGAAAAGAAAUCAAUUGAGAUUCCCUCAGUAGCGGCGAGCGAACGGGGAUCAGCCCAUUAAGUUAUGUGUGUUUUAGUGGAACGCUCUGGGAAGUGCGAACGUAGAGGGUGAUAUUCCCGUACACGAAAGGGCACACAUAAUGAUGACGAGUAGGGCGAGGCACGUGAAACCUUGUCUGAAUAUGGGGGGACCAUCCUCCAAGGCUAAAUACUCCUGACUGACCGAUAGUGAACCAGUACCGUGAGGGAAAGGCGAAAAGAACCCCUGUGAGGGGAGUGAAAUAGAUCCUGAAACCGCAUGCAUACAAGCAGUGGGAGCACCUUCGUGGUGUGACUGCGUACCUUUUGUAUAAUGGGUCAGCGACUUAUAUUCAGUAGCGAGGUUAACCGUAUAGGGGAGCCGUAGAGAAAUCGAGUCUUAAUAGGGCGUUUAGUUGCUGGGUAUAGACCCGAAACCAGGCGAUCUAUCCAUGAGCAGGUUGAAGGUUGGGUAACACUAACUGGAGGACCGAACCCACUGUCGUUGAAAAGCCAGGGGAUGACUUGUGGAUAGGGGUGAAAGGCUAAUCAAGCCUGGUGAUAGCUGGUUCUCCCCGAAAGCUAUUUAGGUAGCGCCUCGGACGAAUACCAUAGGGGGUAGAGCACUGUUUCGGCUAGGGGGUCAUCCCGACUUACCAAACCGAUGCAAACUCCGAAUACCUAUGAGUACUAUCCGGGAGACAGACUGCGGGUGCUAACGUCCGUAGUCAAGAGGAAAACAAUCCAGACCGCCAGCUAAGGCCCCAAAAUCAUAGUUAAGUGGGAAACGAUGUGGGAAGGCAUAGACAGCUAGGAGGUUGGCUUAGAAGCAGCCACCCUUUAAAGAAAGCGUAAUAGCUCACUAGUCGAGUCGGCCUGCGCGGAAGAUGUAACGGGGCUAAAACUAUGUGCCGAAGCUGCGGAUGUAUACUUUGUAUACGUGGUAGGGGAGCGUUCUGUAAGCCGAUGAAGGUGUGUUGAGAAGCAUGCUGGAGGUAUCAGAAGUGCGAAUGCUGACGUGAGUAACGACAAAACGGGUGAAAAACCCGUUCGCCGAAAGACCAAGGGUUCCAGUCCAACGU
rnacentral:rRNA from 1 species